GCCCUGAUAGCUCAAUCGGUAGAGCGUGCGGCUUUUAACCGCAAGGUUCGGGGUUCGAUCCCCCGUUGGGGCG
rfam:Rozella allomycis CSF55 unplaced genomic scaffold scaffold_850, whole genome shotgun sequence.